CUCUUAUUCCUUUCGAGUAUCUAUUUUUUCUCACAUUUUCCUUUCUCUUAACAUGUCAAUUAGUUUUUUUUCUAAGACUCAACUUGUGGUUGGAUGAUAUCCACAGCCCACUAGGGUUCAAGUCCCGGUGCUCAUAUUUAAUUUAUUUCAGGAUUUUUUGGCGAUGCGCGUUCAGUGGUAAGAAAUGUUCCCGUCGACUAUGAGGCUUGAUACUCUGGCUCAAUCUCUUGAAGGGGCUCAUAGAGGUAGGGUCUGCCUAUGUGCGUGUGUUCAUACAUGUGAGUGUAUGUGCGUGUAUAUGAGCGUUUGCAUGUGUACUGUACUAAAAAUAAUUCUAAGACUCACAGUCAAUUAGUUAAUCAGUUUACUCGUGAAAAAAAUUGUUAACCAGUUUACAAAAAGGUCAGCAGAGAUUCAGUCGCGCCAUUUUAUUUCUUAUUUCCCUCCAUUUUUCCCACGUCAAAAAUUCCCCUCCAUCUUUAAAAAAAAUAAAAACUGAAACUGCUCGGUUGUUCCACAAAAUCUGGCCCUCAUCUACCUGAUCACUAUGCGCACGGUUCCAUCUUCCCCAUCGACGCCUCCACUCAUCACGAACCCAUCGACGCGCCAUCUCUCUCCCUACCUAGCAGUCGUCUGUUGCCUUCCUCUCUCCACCUAACUACGCCGCGAGCGAGCCUUCUGCAUGUCGUUGCUGCAGAGGAAUGCCACCCUGUAUGGUAGAUCGUGCCUCCGAUGGCUGCGUGAUUGACCACGGCAAGGAGGUGCUGCAGGUUGCAGCUCCUCCUCCCCCAACCCCAUUGACGUGCUCACCUACCUCGCGUGGAAGAUCUCCGAGUUCCCAGCAUGCCGCGUGAUUGGCUCCGUCACCAACCUCCACUCCUCCAAGUUCAGAUACCUCAUCACCGAGCACCUCGACGUCAAUGCGCAGGACGUGUAGAAGCGAAAGGACCCUCCCCUACAUUGUCUUCUCUUUUUCGCCCUCUUCUCAGUAGACCAGCAAGUACACGUCUGUAGAUCGGAUUGGAAGUGGAGGCAGAGGCGAACCGAGGGGGGCGAGGUCAAGUCUAUUAGCUCGGUUAGAUGAUGCAAUUUGUAUGGUGGGCUCAUGCUUUAGAAGAAAAUCAACAAAACAAGCAAAAGAUGUCUUCCGUUUCACUACAGACCAAGAACAAUACCAACCAAUUGUCGGAAUUAUAUUAUUUUGAAAAGCUUGGGAAAUCAAAACGAGAAUGUUACUCUUGCUACACACUAAAGUACCGUCUAGAAUAUGAUGUUGUUAAACUUGCUAAUAAGUUCUGAGCAGUGCAAGUUGAUGCUAUGUUCGCAAAAUGCGAUCUAUUGGAAUGACCACUAAAAAGGGUUAAAAUUAUUGGUCAUGCGACAAAAUUAAUUAUCGCAUGGCCUUCAAGCUUUGUAUGUUGCUCGUCAACUUGAUUUUAUUAAAUGGCUCGUUACUGAUAUCAUUUCUCUAUUGUUGUAGAUGGGCAAGGUAAAUUGAUGAUGCAUGUCUCACAUUGACUUAAGGGUCGGGAAUGGGGCUACUUCUAAAUAGUUUCACAUUGUGUUUUAGAAUGUUGUUUCUAGAGUCGAUGUUUGAAGCAGUAAUAUUUAGAAUGGCCGAGACGUUGACUGCAAGGAUGAGAAUCAGACUACUACUAGAUAGUUUCAGCCUUGUAAUCUUUGGAUCGCGUUGUUUGUAAUGCAACAAAGCAGAUUUAAUAUAUGAGAACUUUUUAUUUACUA